rnacentral:rRNA from 1 species
AAAGCUCGUAGUUGAAUUUCUGGUCUUGGACACCGGUCUGCCUCAAACGAGGUACGUACCUGGCGUCUGAGUCCAUCUUCGGGGAAAACAUAUCUGUGAUUAAGUUCAUGGGUAUGGGAUCCUCGUCAUUUACUGUGAGCAAAAUAGAGUGUUCAAAGCAGGCUUAUGCCGUUGAAUACAUUAGCAUGGAAUAAU